UACGUAGGGGGCAAGCGUUGUCCGGAUUUAUUGGGCGUAAAGAGCGUGUAGGCGGCCAGACAGGUCCGUUGUGAAAACUCGAGGCUCAACCUCGAGACGCCCGAUGGAAACCGUCUGGCUAGAGUCCGGAAGAGGAGAGUGGAAUUCCUGGUGUAGCGGUGAAAUGCGCAGAUAUCAGGAAGAACACCCGUGGCUAAGGCGGCUCUCUAGUACGGUACUGACGCUGAGACGCGAAAGCGUGGGGAGCGAACAGG
rnacentral:rRNA from 1 species